ACACACACACACACAGACUGCUGAAUACAUACACAAACACUGCUGAGUACACACAGACUGCUGAAUACAUACACACACACAGACUGCUGAAUACAUACACUGCUGAAUACACACACAGUCUGCUGAAUACAUACACUGCUGAGUAUAUACACACACACACACAUACAGACUGCUGAAUACAUACACACACACUGCUGAGUACACACAGACUGCUGAAUGCAUA